AGCUUUGCGCAGUGGCAGUAUCAUAGCCAAUGAGGUUUAUCCAAGGCAUGAUUAUUACUAAUUGAAACUCUUUAGUUUCCUCAUUUAUCAAACAGAGAGGUUGCAUAAUGAUUUUUGAGGUCCCUUUUAGCUCUAAAUGUAUGAAUCUAUGUUUCUAAAGGG
ensembl:snRNA U4 U4 spliceosomal RNA